rnacentral:rRNA from 1 species
UACGUAGGGUGCGAGCGUUGUCCGGAAUUAUUGGGCGUAAAGGGCUCGUAGGCGGUUUGUCGCGUCGGGAGUGAAAACAUCGGGCUUAACUCGAUGCUUGCUUUCGAUACGGGCAGACUUGAGGUAUGCAGGGGAGAAUGGAAUUCCUGGUGUAGCGGUGAAAUGCGCAGAUAUCAGGAGGAACACCGGUGGCGAAGGCGGUUCUCUGGGCAUUACCUGACGCUGAGGAGCGAAAGUGUGGGAGCGAACAGGAUUAGA